rnacentral:lncRNA from 1 species
CGAAUUUUAAGUGUUUCUUUUUUUUCUUCUUUUAAAAAUAAAAUACCGAAAUGAACUUUUAAUCGUUAUAAUGUUGUAUUGGCUGCAAAAGUUUUGUUACUGAAAAUAUCAAGAAUUGAAAGAAUUCAGCAAUACAAAGCAGAAAACUUGAAAAAAAUUUAUGCAGUAUAUUUGUAUAAUACGUUAAGGCAUCGUUUUUCAAAAUUUAGAUAUCCUGAAACGUUAGAGUAAACCUGCCAAAUAUGCGCCCACUCAUAUUUUGCUCGAAUUUUACUGCCAUUCAUGAUACUGUUAAUGAAACAAGAAGAUUCUUAUUAGUUGAAGUUACGAAGGAAACAUCACGAUGGAAGAAUAAAAUCAAGCAAAAUAUUAUGCAAGUCUAUAAAUUUAUUUAUAAAAGUUAUCCACCAUGGCUUCGUGGCCUCUGAGAGAGUCUACAGUCUCCUCAGGGUGUGAGAUUUUUUAGGAAGUUAAUGGAUGUUACUGAAAGCAAAUUCGUCAUAAAAACAUGAAACUGUGCGAGAUCGCAGAAGUUCCAUAUGUUAAUGAAAGGAUUAAGAAAGGUUACAUGUAUUCUAAUAAAUAUCUGCGUAAGCUAUUUUAUAAAAAGGACACGUUUUAAGAAUAUGCAACUGCUACGAUAAAUUAAAAAGUAAAAAAAAAAAAUUAUUAUGCUACUUUUUAAUUCAUCAUAGCCGUAUCUUUGGUAAAGUAAAAGCGGUGGCAAAGGUAUGGCAAUGCCCACUACGGGCCGUCCACACUUUUAGUGAAGUAAGUUGUCAGGUAGUAGUAUACUAGUCAACUGGAUGGCCCCAGUGACUCAUUUGUAAGCUUUAACUUGUCACGAAGAUAAUCUCCUUGCUAUAGGAGAAUAUAUCUGCGAAAUUUAACUCUGCUUUAAUCAUAGAUGCGGGAGAACCUAGCAUCCCUAGAUCCACAGAGACGAAGGAUAUUUAGAGCGAACCCGCUCAGCCGUCACACUGGGGAUUCGUACGUUCUUUCUGUCCUCUGUGCACGGUAUUACAAAGCAACCGGAAUUGGUCGAGAAAUUCGAUGUAAUCGCCGCUACAGUUUUCGUGCCAGAGGGAUCGUAAACAUAGAGAUAAACUUUGCCGAAUUAUCACAACUGUCAGUUCUUCCGCAAGCAGAAGAACUCCAAGAAAUCAGGCACAUUCGCGACGUAAAAAUGCCAGCAGCUGACCGAAAGGCUUGCACUUGAUCCAAGACAAGAUUUUUACUUACUAUUAUCCCGUGACAGAUAUACACAAUUCAGUAGAGGAAGAGCAUUUGAGGUGCAUAUCUUCACAUGUCGGCAAGAGAUCUCCGUUUAGUAUCCUAUAUAGCUUACAUCCGGCCCAGAAUGAAACUGCCACAAGUUAUCAUAGGAAUAGUAUGAACCGAUGCCAUGAAUCGACCAGGCUCGGACGCUUUGCCACGGCUCAUACUGUUCUGGUAAUAGCUACGGAGUUUUUUAUAUCUUCCAGUGGUAAACAAGCUUUCCACCCGGUCUAAGAGGACAGAUUUCCCCAUCAUCCCGAGUCGAUCGCUUCUCGGAUUGGCACCAUUUAGGCAUUAUCCUUCCGCCAUUCAUCCCUUCAGCAUGGUACGCCACUUUGGGAUUUGGGAUUCUUUAGAUGACUCAUGUUUCAUGCAGAGUAUACGGUGGCCAAUUCUUAAUCCCGAACCUGCAGGGACUGGGCGAUCGAGCGGCGAACAUGUAGAGCGUUCGCCAGCGAGAGAUGGAUGCAGCCAUGCCACCAUCCAGCACCAACCUAAUGGAUGAAUUUUUUCACUUGGGAUAGUAUCUAGAUUACCCGGCUAGGGCUUUUUUGGGUUUAUCCGACACUUCAGGAUCUCUCUAUAGAAAAUAAACCGAGGCCCGAAAACGGAACAGAUUUCAUUUUAACUUAUGUCACACUCGAGUACUGGUGAGUCAAGCCCGACUUAUACGCCGUAGGGACACCGGCAUACGUCUGCACACGCACCAGGCAGGUGUAGGAAUGUCUUGGUAAAAUGCUAUCCCACUGAGAACCUCUUAGUAUAUCUAGACGUUAUGAAUGCAUCGGCCCGGCUCCAAAACAGAUACAGAUAUAGUGCUGCCGACACAAGCCCUUGCCGCAUCAAGGAGAGCCCUCCUCGAGAGAGAUGGUCGCAGUGGAAGCAUGCUGUGUUUUCACUCUGGAGAAUUCGGAUUCAGUACCCGGAUCCUACACCUCAAAAUGUUUAUUCAGGAUAGAUGCAGACAUGCUCAUUGGAUCCCAUGUUUACUUGAUAGCUGAUCACCCCAGAAGUAUGGGUGGUCCUCCGUUUAGUACUCCUCGGAUGAAAAGCCGUACAGGAAAAAAACAUCUUAAUUUAUUUUGAAAUACUAUUAUGAAAGCGUGAAGAAAAUUUUAUUGAAUAAAAACGCAUAUUAAGUAGACAUGGAGAGAAAUAUAUAUAUAUAUAUACAUCAACAAAAGUUGAUUUAAUAAAAUAUCAAUAUCAGUCUGAUUCUUUUGUAUAUCAUCAAUUCACACUUAAGCAGCAC